GAUGAACGCUGGCGGCGUGCCUAAUACAUGCAAGUCGAGCGAACGGACGAGAAGCUUGCUUCUCUGAUGUUAGCGGCGGACGGGUGAGUAACACGUGGAUAACCUACCUAUAAGACUGGGAUAACUUCGGGAAACCGGAGCUAAUACCGGAUAAUCUUUUGAACCGCAUGGUUCAAAAGUGAAAGACGGUCUUGCUGUCACUUAUAGCUGGAUCCGCGCUGCAUUAGCUAGUUGUUAAGGUAACGGCUUACCAAGGCAACGAUGCAUAGCCGACCUGAGAGGGUGAUCGGCCACACUGGAAGUGAGACACGGUCCAGACUCCUACGGGAGGCAGCAGUAGGGAAUCUUCCGCAAAGGGCGAAAGCCUGACGGAGCAACGCCGCGUGAGUGAUGAAGGUCUUCGGAUCGUAAAACUCUGUUAUUAGGGAAGAACAUAUGUGUAAGUAACUGUGCACAUCUUGACGGUACCUAAUCAGAAAGCCACGGCUAACUACGUG
rnacentral:rRNA from 1 species